GGCCAGACUCCUACGGGAGGCAGCAGUGGGGGAUAUUGCACAAUGGGGGGAACCCUGAUGCAGCGACGCCGCGUGGGUGAAGAAGCGCCUCGGCGCGUAAAGCCCUGUCAGCAGGGAAGAAAAUGACGGUACCUGAAGAAGAAGCCCCGGCUAACUACGUGCCAGCAGCCGCGGUAAUACGUAGGGGGCAAGCGUUAUCCGGAUUUACUGGGUGUAAAGGGGGCGCAGACGGCGAUGCAAGCCAGGAGUGAAAGCCCGAGGCCCAACCCCGGGACUGCUCUUGGAACUGCGUGGCUAGAGUGCAGGAGGGGCAGGCGGAAUUCCUGGUGUAGCGGUGAAAUGCGUAGAUAUCAGGAGGAACACCGGUGGCGAAGGCGGCCUGCAGGACUGCAACUGACGUUGAGGCCCGAAAGCGUGGGGAGCAAACAGGAUUAGAUACCCCGGUACCA
rnacentral:rRNA from 1 species